UACAGAGGUCCCAAGCGUUGUUCGGAUUCACUGGGCGUAAAGGGCGCGUAGGCGGCCCGCACAAGUCUGCGGUGAAAACCCCCGGCUUAACCGGGGGCCGGCCGUGGAAACUGUCGGGCUGGAGGCUGGGAGAGGGCAGCGGAAUUCCCGGUGUAGCGGUGAAAUGCGUAGAGAUCGGGAGGAACACCGGCGGCGAAGGCGGCUGCCUGGACCAGUCCUGACGCUGAGGCGCGAAAGCUAGGGGAGCAAACAGG
rnacentral:rRNA from 1 species